CAGUCGCCGCGGUAAAACGAAGGGGGCUAGCGUUGUUCGGAUUUACUGGGCGUAAAGCGCACGUAGGCGGAUCGAUCAGUCAGGGGUGAAAUCCCAGAGCUCAACUCUGGAACUGCCUUUGAUACUGUCGAUCUGGAGUAUGGAAGAGGUGAGUGGAAUUCCGAGUGUAGAGGUGAAAUUCGUAGAUAUUCGGAGGAACACCAGUGGCGAAGGCGGCUCACUGGUCCAUUACUGACGCUGAGGUGCGAGAGCGUGGGGAGCAAACAGGAUUAGAUACCCCUGUAGUCCCUGUCUCUUAUAC
rnacentral:rRNA from 1 species